UUUCCAAGUCGGACCCAUUCUUGCCUGCACCCGGUCGGGUUUCCAAGUUGAACCCUUUCCGGCCCUGGACCCGGUCCGGCUUCCAAGUGGACCCAGUACGACUCGGCCAGUUUCCGGACCCAGUCCGGAGAAAGAAAGGCUGAGAGAAAAGUCUGGAAGCUCCUAAAGCGAAAGCUGCGGAGGAUCCUGAGGAUUUACCCAGAACCUCCUGGGGCAGCUGGACAGCAGGGGGCGGCAGGGCCUCAGCCGGUACCCAAGUUUGCUUCCGCCUGCGGGUAAUGGGUGUCUCCUUCCGUUCCAUCUCAUUACACCAGAAUUGUUAAAAGGCCUUAACAGCCUCAGCGAAGAACUGAAGCUGCCCUGAAGAGACUCUGCUUGUAGGUGUCAGCCUCACCAUGUGCUGAGGAGGUCCAUCCUGCUCUUCAGGCUUCAGACUUGCUUUUCCAGCCUAUACAAUCAUAGUUGAUGGAUGGCCAUAUUUUCGAGGCUAAUAUGUAUCUGUCACAGAUUAACACAGGAGAGUGAUACAAAUAUACUCUAAAGCACGGGGAAGUGUUGGUUUUGGAAAUCCUGGAAUCAUCACUUUCUGGCUUGAAAACCCCAUGAAGCAGAGAAAUCAGUUACUACUUGUCCUUGGAUCUUCAAGCAAGAAGCUGUUUGAAUUGAAACAUCAUGCCUUUGGUUGCUGCUAAGCAUCUCUCUGACAUGCGAAGUAAUCAAGACCUUCUGGUGAAACCAGUUCCCUCAUCAGGGUUCAGCAUGAUUGAUGGUGAUGUAAGGCUACAUUGCUCAUGGAAUUUCAAGGAGCUAUGGCAUGUUUAUGCUGAAAGGUAAAGGAGAAAGGUCACUCUAAUCCCAUAAGAAUCUGACUCCCAGCACGGGUAGUGUUGGGGACAUAAAACUGGUAUUUGAUAACUUUUUAUUAAAGCAAUAAAUGAAUGAAUCUAUGAGGGGAUGAAUAAGUUAACAAAUAUAGAAGUGUUGCAGGCCCAUAUAUCCUUAAUCCCAGUCAGGUGUCUUUAGAAUGGGUAGGCUCUGUCAUGAAAGUUACUAUUAAAUAAGAAAAGUCCAGAGCAGGUUCAGCAAAUAUGUUAGAACUACUGUCAUUCCUAAGACACAGUUAAUCUAUCAGGAUACUCAUUUUAAUCAAAGGAAUUUUGGAAUGUUAUUUCUCAAUACAGUUCUCCAGGCAGCCACUACUAAUCAAUCAGAGUUGGCAAAAGAAAGUCAAAUGUUUAUUUUUGAAGGUCUAAACAAAUUAGUACAAUCCCAACACUAUUAGUUAAAAAUAAAGAGCCUCCUAUUGUUUUACCUUUCAGUAGUAUAUUUUGUAGUAGCCAUUUGUUCUACUCAUUAUUUACUCAA